rnacentral:rRNA from 1 species
GUGUCGCCAGACGCAUUGCCCGGUAGCUAAGUUCGGAAUUGAUAAGCGCUGAAAGCAUCUAAGCGCGAAGCGAGCCCUGAGAUGAGUCUUCCCUGACAGUUUAACUGUCCUAAAGGGUUGUUCGAGACUAGAACGUUGAUAGGCAGGGUGUGUAAGCGUUGUGAGGCGUUGAGCUAACCUGUACUAAUUGCCCGUGAGGCUUA